AUUGAACGCUGGCGGCAUGCCUUACACAUGCAAGUCGAACGGUAACGGGCCUUCGGGUGCCGACGAGUGGCGAACGGGUGAGUAAUGCAUCGGAACGUACCUUUCAGUGGGGGAUAACGUAGCGAAAGUUACGCUAAUACCGCAUAUUCUGUGAGCAGGAAAGCAGGGGAUCGCAAGACCUUGCGCUGAUUGAGCGGCCGAUGUCAGAUUAGCUAGUUGGUGAGGUAAAGGCUCACCAAGGCGACGAUCUGUAGCGGGUCUGAGAGGAUGAUCCGCCACACUGGAACUGAGACACGGUCCAGACUCCUACGGGAGGCAGCAGUGGGGGAAUUUUGGACAAUGGGGGCAACCCUGAUCCAGCCAUGCCGCGUGAGUGAAGAAGGCCUCGGUU
rnacentral:rRNA from 1 species